rfam:Ovis aries breed Texel chromosome 18, whole genome shotgun sequence.
UCCCUGGUGGUCCAGUGGUUAGGACUCCGCACUUUCACCGCCAUGGGCCCAGGUUCCAUCCGUGGUCGGGGAA